rnacentral:rRNA from 1 species
UGGGGAAUAUUGGACAAUGGGCGCAAGCCUGAUCCAGCCAUGCCGCGUGAGUGAUGAAGGCCCUAGGGUUGUAAAGCUCUUUCACCGGUGAAGAUAAUGACGGUAACCGGAGAAGAAGCCCCGGCUAACUUCGUGCCAGCAGCCGCGGUAAUACGAAGGGGGCUAGCGUUGUUCGGAUUUACUGGGCGUAAAGCGCACGUAGGCGGACUUUUAAGUCAGGGGUGAAAUCCCGGGGCUCAACCCCGGAACUGCCUUUGGUACUGGAAGUCUUGAGUAUGGUAGAGGUGAGUUGAAUUCCGAGUGUAGAGGUGAAAUUCGUAGAUAUUCGGAGGAACACCAGUGGCGAAGGCGGCUCACUGGACCAUUACUGACGCUUAGGUGCGAAAGCGUGGGGAGCAAACAGG